rnacentral:rRNA from 1 species
AGUUGUAAUCUCAAAAAGUGUUUUCCGCGUUGGACCGCAACAAGUCUGUUGGAAUACAGCGGCGUAGUGGUGAGACCCCCGUAUAUGGUGCGGACGCCCAACGCUUUGUGAUACACUUUCGAAGAGUCGAGUUGUUUGGGAAUGCAGCUCAAAUUGGGUGGUAAAUUCCAUCUAAAGCUAAAUAUUGGCGAGAGACCGAUAGCAAACAAGUACCGUGAGGGAAAGAUGAAAAGCACUUUGGAAAGAGAGUUAACAGUACGUGAAAUUGUUGGAAGGGAAACGCUUGAAGUCAGACUUGCUUGCCGAGCAAUCGGUUUGCAGGCCAGCAUCAGUUUUCCGGGGUGGAUAAUGGUAGAGAGAAGGUAGCAGUUUCGGCUGUGUUAUAGCUCUCUGCUGGAUACACCUUGGGGGACUGAGGAACGCAGUGUGCCU